UUUUGAAGAAAAAGUACAAAU
rnacentral:piRNA from 1 species